rnacentral:rRNA from 1 species
AAAUUGAAGAGUUUGAUCAUGGCUCAGAUUGAACGCUGGCGGCAGGCCUAACACAUGCAAGUCGAACGGUAGCACAGAGAGCUUGCUCUCGGGUGACGAGUGGCGGACGGGUGAGUAAUGUCUGGGAAACUGCCCGAUGGAGGGGGAUAACUACUGGAAACGGUAGCUAAUACCGCAUA